rnacentral:misc_RNA from 1 species
UUUCCGUUGGUGAACCUGCGGAAGGAUCAUUAGUGAGUAAAGUCCCUCGGGUCUUUCUUAUCCAAACACCUGUGAAAAUUAAUUUUUGCUGUUAUAAUUCAAUUAUUAUCAACAAUAAAAACCAAUAAGUUGCCUUUUGUCUGAAUGAUUAAUUGCAAAUCAAAACUUUCAACAACGGAUCACUUGGUUCUC